CGAACGGGUGAGUAACACGUGGGCAAUCUGCCCUGCACUCUGGGACAAGCCCUGGAAACGGGGUCUAAUACCGGAUACGACCUGCCCUCGCAUGGGGGUGGGUGGAAAGCUCCGGCGGUGCAGGAUGAGCCCGCGGCCUAUCAGCUUGUUGGUGAGGUAGUGGCUCACCAAGGCGACGACGGGUAGCCGGCCUGAGAGGGCGACCGGCCACACUGGGACUGAGACACGGCCCAGACUCCUACGGGAGGCAGCAGUGGGGAAUAUUGCACAAUGGGCGAAAGCCUGAUGCAGCGACGCCGCGUGAGGGAUGACGGCCUUCGGGUUGUAAACCUCUUUCAGCAGGGAAGAAGCGAAAGUGACGGUACCUGCAGAAGAAGCGCCGGCUAACUACGUGCCAGCAGCCGCGGUAAUACGUAGGGCGCGAGCGUUGUCCGGAAUUAUUGGGCGUAAAGAGCUCGUAGGCGGCUUGUCACGUCGAUUGUGAAAGCCCGGGGCUUAACCCCGGGUCUGCAGUCGAUACGGGCAGGCUAGAGUUCGGUAGGGGAGAUCGGAAUUCCUGGUGUAGCGGUGAAAUGCGCAGAUAUCAGGAGGAACACCGGUGGCGAAGGCGGAUCUCUGGG
rnacentral:rRNA from 1 species